rnacentral:lncRNA from 1 species
UGGGAAUAUAUGGUGCAGAUCCUAUCCUUAUCACUGAAUGGACUCAUGAAGGUCAGAUAGAAAAUGAGAAUUUGUGCAGGAACAAAAAUGCUGGAUGAAUAAUAAAAUUAUGAUGCAUUAGAGCCUCUAGACAUUCUUGACAUGUACUCCAAUUUUCUUUUGAUUCUAUAAAGAUUAUGUUGGAUUGAGCACAGUAGAUAUGGAACUUGUUCUGUCUCGAUCAUCUUCGAAGUGAAAUCAUAUUAGUUCUGAUGAGGGACGCGCCCCCCUGAG